rnacentral:rRNA from 1 species
GAAUCUUGGACAAUGGGGGCAACCCUGAUCCAGCGACGCCGCGUGGGUGAUGAAGGCCUUCGGGUUGUAAAGCCCUUUCACCGGGGACGAUGAUGACGGUACCCGGAGAAGAAGCACCGGCUAACUCCGUGCCAGCAGCCGCGGUAAGACGGAGGGUGCUAGCGUUGUUCGGAAUCACUGGGCAUAAAGGGCGCGUAGGCGGCGGAUCGAGUCGGCUUGUGAAAGCCCGGGGCUCAACCCCGGAGGUGCGGCCGAUACUGAUCUGCUCGAGGCAGGAAGAGGAGGGUGGAAUACCCAGUGUAGAGGUGAAAUUCGUAGAUAUUGGGUGGAACACCGGUGGCGAAAGCGGCUCUCUGGUCCGGUCCUGACGCUGAGGCGCGAAAGCGUGGGGAGCAAACAGGA